rnacentral:rRNA from 1 species
ACCGCUUUCAGGGGGGACGAAGCCACUCGGGUUAAAAGCCCAGAGGGUGACGGUACCUCCAGAAGAAGCCCCGGCAAACUACGUGCCAGCAGCCGCGGUAAUACGUAGGGGGCAAGCGUUGUCCGGAUUUAUUGGGCGUAAAGCGCGUGUAGGCGGCCAUGCAGGUCCGCUGUGAAAACUAGAGGCUCAACCUCUAGAGGUCGGUGGAAACCGCAUGGCUAGAGUCCGGAAGAGGAGACUGGAAUUCCCGGUGUAGCGGUGGAAUGCGCAGAUAUCGGGAGGAACACCCGUGGCGAAGGCGGGUCUCUGGGACGGUACUGACGCUGAGACGCGAAAGCGUGGGGAGCGAACAGGAUUAGAUACCCUGGUAGUCCACGCCGUAAACGAUGGGCACUAGGUGUGGGAGGUGUCGACUCCUUCCGUGCCGAAGCUAACGCAUUAAGUGCCCCGCCUGGGGAGUACGGCCGCAAGGCUAAAACUCAAAGGAAUUGACGGGGGCCCGCACAAGCAGCGGAGCAUGUGGUUUAAUUCGACGCAACGCGAAGAACCUUACCUGGGCUUGACAUGCACAGG